rnacentral:lncRNA from 1 species
UGACCGCUAUAUCAUACUUUAGACUCUGUAUCAAAUAAGCUAAGUUGUGAACAGUUAGGUUAUUCAUGGCACCCCGCCAGGCUAGGUCUGUUCUACAAGUCCAACCCUCCGUUGUCUGUCUUGAAGGAGAGUUGCAGUACUCAGACUUCUUAGCAGCCAGGAAGCCCCUUUGUGCCCCUGAGACCAGAGAGAUCAGAGAGCACGGUUUAGGUCCAAAGCAAAGCACCAGACCACUCUUCCUUAAGCAUCCCUCAAGCUUUUGUUUCUUUCUGUUGCUUGACAUCUUCCCCUACUUCCUUCCCCAUCUCGUCUUCCUUCCAGCCCUAUAAGCAGUACAAUACUCUGAAUGCUGACACCACCCGAAACCUCAUGAUUUGCUUCCUGUGGAUCAUGAAAAAUGCCGAUCAGAGCCUCAUUAGAAAAUGGAUUGCUGACCUGCCAUCAAUGCAAUUAAAUCGAAUUUUAGACCUGCUUUUCAUCUGUGUCUCCUGUUUUGAGUACAAGGGAAAACCAAGUUCUGACAAGGUCAGCACUCAAGUCCUGCAGAAGUCAAGGGAUGUCAAGGCCAGGCUGGAAGAGGCUCUACUCCGUGGGGAAGGGGCUAGAGGGGAGAUGAUGCGCCGCUGCAGGGCUCCAGGGAAUGACCGAUUUCCAGGCCUAAAUGAAAAUCUGAGAUGGAGGAAAGAGCAGACACAUUGGCGGCAAGCUAAUGAGAAGCUAGAUAAGUGAGUCACUCAGCAUCUUUGUUCUGCUUUUAUUUAAGGUCCAAAACUAUUUUUCCCAGGCUACUUGUAUUACUAAAACAACUGCAUCCUUCCAAGGGUAAAAAAAUGAAACAUCUCUAUCUGUAUAAAUACGGUUCAUCCAAGGACCAAAGGUAUAAUGACUUAUGAUUUCCAAUUCUAAAAACAAUAUCAUAUUGAUAAGCAUUUAAAGAAAAGUAAUAUUAAACAAACUUAGCUUAAUUAAAGCAGCUGAUGGAGAACAGGGAAAUAGAGAAAAGAAGACAAGGUACCCAAGACCACAUAAUUUCAAAUCUAUAUUUUCAUUAAGGGUACAGUGAUAUAUAUAUUCAGGGAUAUUUAUGUAUUACUGAUAUAUGCAUUACUUAGAAAUUGUUUCUAAAAUUAAAAACACAAAUGCUCAAGAAUAUGGAAAUAGGGGUGGGCGAUUUAGCUCAGUGGUUUCUCUGCCUGCCUUGCAAGUGCAAGGACCCAAGUUCAAUCCCCAGUACCACAAAAAAAAAAAAAGUUUUCUUUGGAUGCUGGGAAUAUAGAGAAUAGAUAUUUGCCUUUUUAGGUUUUAUUAUAUUCCUUACAAUAAAGUUGUAUCAUGAUAUCUUUUAUAGUCA